AGCACCUGGAAAAUCCUGGAGGGACCUGCUGUCCUCCCGACAUUUCCUGUGGCCAAGUCCUGAUGCACCAGCUGUGGUCAGCGCCGGGAAUUGCUGGAAUUCCCGGGAUAAUUGCAAUAAAUUAGGGAUAUUUCAUCAGCCUGGAGGCGGAGGAGCCUGGAAAAUCUUCCUAAUUUCUUGGGGGAUGAAAAAAAUUCAUUCCUGAUUUUGGGAUGGGAAUUAGGGAAGGGAAACAGCAAAAUCCAGAACCACAGCGUUCCAAACUGGGACCUGGUGCUUUGCCCAGGAGACGGGACAGAUUCCCAACCCCGCUCCGAUUUCUCCAGGAGUUCCCCAGCCAAAAUUAUCCCUAAAACUCAUUCCUGAAUAGAUGUGAGUUUCCCCAGAUUUGUGGGAUCUCUGCCCGGGAUGGGGAUGGGGUGAAUCAUUGAGAAAUUAUUAAUGAAUUAUUAACAAAUCACCCCGCGAUGAGCAGCCCUGGGUGUGCCCUGCGUGAAAAACACCCAGUCCCCCGCAGCCGGGAGAGGAGGGAAUCUCUCCCAGACUUUGACUGAGGUCCAGGAGGUGGGAGCGGAGCCGGUUCCGGUUGUGAAAGAUUCUGGUCACCGAGUUUAAUCCGGAGGCAUCGGCCCUUCUGCAGGGUUAUAAAAGCUGCUCCUCCGGGAACCUCCACACCCGCAGCGGCUCCUCCUGAGCUCCCUCCUCCAGCAGGACGCGCCAGGCUCAGCCAGGAUGUCCCAGCAGCAGAAGCAGCCGCAGCAGAUCCCGGCCCAGUGCCAGCAGAAGUGCGGGGCCCUGCCCAAGGGGGUCCAGCAAAGCCCGGCCUCCAAAGGCCAGGCCAAGGCGGCCGUGAAGAGCCUCCCCCCGCAGCAGCAGCAGCAGCAGCAGCAGCAGGAGUGCUCCAAGCAGAAGUAGGAGCCAUCCCAAAUCCCAAAUCCCGCUUUUCCCACCUCGUCCUGGCUCCCGGGAACGUCUCCAGACCUGCUUCGCUUGCCAGAAAUUACCUCAUAACGAAAUGCGCUUAAUUAGCUUUUAAAAAAAGAAAUGAUAAAUGAAUGGCGGGGUUGGUUUUAAUUCUGAAUUUAAUUUGGGAUGUGGUGCAAUAAAAUGAUGGAAUGACCUCGUGGUUGAUCCCUGGUGUUUUUGUUGGUGCUUUUCCUCCUGUUUCACUUCUCUUUCUCUUUUGUUUUCCCCUAAAAUAUCAACAUUAAGCACACACAAACACCAGCUUCUCCAAGCUGAGCUUCCACUCCAUCUUUUUCAGGAGAAGCCAUUGAAAAUCCCCAAAACUUGAUUAAAA
rnacentral:lncRNA from 1 species